rnacentral:rRNA from 1 species
GCGAACGGGUGAGUAACACGUGGGCAAUCUGCCCUUCACUCUGGGCAUAAGCCCUGGAAACGGGGUCUAAUACCGGAUAUCACUCCUGCAGGCAUCUGCGGGGGUCGAAAGCUCCGGCGGUGAAGGAUGAGCCCGCGGCCUAUCAGCUUGUUGGUGAGGUAGUGGCUCACCAAGGCGACGACGGGUAGCCGGCCUGAGAGGGCGACCGGCCACACUGGGACUGAGACACGGCCCAGACUCCUACGGGAGGCAGCAGUGGGGAAUAUUGCACAAUGGGCGAAAGCCUGAUGCAGCGACGCCGCGUGAGGGAUGACGGCCUUCGGGUUGUAAACCUCUUUCAGCAGGGAAGAAGCGAAAGUGACGGUACCUGCAGAAGAAGCGCCGGCUAACUACGUGCCAGCAGCCGCGGUAAUACGUAGGGCGCAAGCGUUGUCCGGAAUUAUUGGGCGUAAAGAGCUCGUAGGCGGCUUGUCACGUCGGGUGUGAAAGCCCGGGGCUUAACCCCGGGUCUGCAUUCGAUACGGGCAGGCUAGAGUGUGGUAGGGGAGAUCGGAAUUCCUGGUGUAGCGGUGAAAUGCGCAGAUAUCAGGAGGAACACCGGUGGCGAAGGCGGAUCUCUGGGCCAUUACUGACGCUGAGGAGCGAAAGCGUGGGGAGCGAACAGGAUUUAGAUACCCUGGUAGUC